rnacentral:lncRNA from 1 species
AAAACUAGUAUCUCAAUUGUUUGUAAAACAAUUGAAAGGCCUUUCCUGUAAAAAUGAUGUUUUCGUAAUGUGCUUUGUACGACCUUUCGUUUGAUAUACGACAAGCAUACCUUCUGAAACUUUUCGCUUUUUACACUUAAUGACUCCAUCCGCCUACAUUUUCGAGAUCGAAAGUGUGAUAUAGGUAAUGUAGACUUGAUGAUCUUUCAUUUGAUAUGCGACAACGCCAUGUUCUAGAAGUUUUAUUUUUGCACUUAAUAACCCAAUCUUACUAAUUUUUGGGGGUCAGGAAUUUGAUAUUCGAAAUGUACACAUCAUAACCUUUCAUUUGAUAUACAACAACCCUAUCUUAUCAGAAAAUUUAUUUUCUGCACUCAAUGACCCCACCCAACCAAUUUUUGAUGGACGUCAAUUUGAAAUUUGAAAUGUACGCUCUGUGUUCUUUCAUUUGAUAUGCGACAACCUUACCAUCUGAGAAAUUUGAAUUUGUGCACUAAAUGACCCCACCCUUCCCACUGGGAUGUAAAGGGGUUUAAAAUUUUCAUUUUUGAGUAGAGUUUAUUGAGACCUUCAAUUUGAUAUAUCAAAUGACCCCAUUUGACAAAGUGCCAAAAAUGAUGCAAUAUCAACUAUAUAAAUAGAACUUAUGAAACUCACAAAGUCAAUGCAAAACCG